UACGGAGGGUGCAAGCGUUGUCCGGAAUCACUGGGCGUAAAGGGCGCGUAGGCAGCUCAUGAAGGCUGUGGUGAAAGUCCGGGGCUCAACCUCGGAUCGGCCGUGGCGACUCGUGGGCUGGAGCACUGUAGAGGCGGGUGGAAUUCCGGGUGUAGCGGUGGAAUGCGUAGAGAUCCGGAAGAACACCAGUGGCGAAGGCGGCCCGCUGGGCAGUGGCUGACGCUGAGGCGCGACAGCGUGGGGAGCAAACAGG
rnacentral:rRNA from 1 species